rnacentral:rRNA from 1 species
AGUGAACGCUGGCGGUAGGCCUAACACAUGCAAGUCGAACGGCAGCACAGUAAGAGCUUGCUCUUACGGGUGGCGAGUGGCGGACGGGUGAGGAAUACAUCGGAAUCUACUUUUUCGUGGGGGAUAACGUAGGGAAACUUACGCUAAUACCGCAUACGACCUACGGGUGAAAGCAGGGGAUCUUCGGGCCUUGCGCGAUUGAAUGAGCCGAUGUCGGAUUAGCUAGUUGGCGGGGUAAAGGCCCACCAAGGCGACGAUCCGUAGCUGGUCUGAGAGGAUGAUCAGCCACACUGGAACUGAGACACGGUCCAGACUCCUACGGGAGGCAGCAGUGGGGAAUAUUGGACAAUGGGCGCAAGCCUGAUCCAGCCAUACCGCGUGGGUGAAGAAGGCCUUCGGGUUGUAAAGCCCUUUUGUUGGGAAAGAAAAGCAGCAGGUUAAUACCCCGCCGUUCUGACGGUACCCAAAGAAUAAGCACCGGCUAACUUCGUG